CUUUCAGAUCACAUUCUCUUCCAGACAGUUCUUCAAGGAACCCACGUUAACCACCGCCCCCCCAUCAGCCUUUCAUGUUCUCCUCACUGACAAGACUCUUCCAAUAAACCAUAUAAAAUAAAUAACCUCAAAUAUAAUUCUUAAUUGCUACCAAGUCGAUGUUUCCUCAUCACUAAACUUUAUUGCUUCCCAAUCUUUAAGACAAACUUCCCUCGGGACUCUGUCCCUUUCAGGAGACAGGCCGAGGAAAGCUGCUUCUCCAAGAUUCUACCUGCAUGUCCCAGACCCAGAGGAUGAACAAGGGUGCCAGGUUGUUCAGAGGCUGCAAGACCAGGGGAGGCCUCGGAGGGUUGGAGCUGGAUGCUAGGAGACAAAAUGGGUAAAUCCUCCAAGGCUUAACUUCAGCGAAACCAGUCGCAGAGCGGAUGGAGGAGGCGAGGACGCGGCUAGUUCACACCGUUUCCUUGGCAAGGAAAAUCACUGGCGUUUUAGGCCGCCUCGUAGCGACCUGCAAGCGCCUGCCGAGUGUUGGCGGGCCCCUUGAACCCAAGCCCUGUCUGUCCGCUGAGUCCUGGGAGGAGAAUACCGGCCUCACCAGAAGAAGGAGAACACGGAGAGAGGUCCGAAAACCGUUUGCAAUGCCAUCUAGACAGCCCUCCGCGAAACCAACCCUGAGCGGCGCUGGCAGCCCACCCCUGCACCCGGCUGCAGAGGUGGGGGCUGCAACUCUCCGAGCAACCCAAUAAUUACAAAAGGAAGGUCGAAGGACAAAAGAAAAAAAAAAAGAAAGAAAUUUAAAAUUCAGAAAUUACUUUCUCCCCAGCUUCGGUUGUCCAGCUCCAGUGGGCGGCCCGGGGCCGCGAGCCCCAUCGCUGCGGAAGAGGCUGGACCCGCGUGGCCGCGAGCCCUAUGUGUGUGCGCGUGUGUGUGUGUACGUGGGCGCGCGCGGGAGUGUAGCGACUCCAGGGGCUGCCCUCCGCAGUCUUUUUAAAGUAGCCUCCAAAUGAGCCUAAUUUUGAUUCUGCUGCCCGCCAGGGCUGGCUCUCAGGACUCCCUCGGCGCUGCUGGUCGCUGCCUCGCCCUCCCUCGGCCAAGACCUGGCCUGAUCCGUCCCCAUCCCCGUGUCUCAGUGGAACCCCCCUGGGGGAAGGGGUGCGGAGUGAACAACUCCCAGCCGCCAGUUCCAUUUGUUGCGCUUUUUUCAUUCGACACAAUAAAAGUCAAAUU
rnacentral:lncRNA from 1 species